UGAACGCUGGCGGCAUGCCUAACACAUGCAAGUCGAACGCGAAAGUCACUUCGGUGGCGAGUAGAGUGGCGGACGGGUGAGUAACGCAUGGGAAUCUACCUUGCAGUGGGGGACAACCCGAGGAAACUCGGGCUAAUACCGCAUACGACCUACGGGUGAAAGGGGGCUUCGGCUCUCGCUGUUGGACGAGCCCAUGUCCGAUUAGCUGGUUGGUGAGGUAAAGGCUCACCAAGGCGACGAUCGGUAGCUGGUCUAAGCGGAUGAUCAGCCACACUGGGACUGAGACACGGCCCAGACUCCUACGGGAGGCAGCAGUGGGGAAUAUUGGACAAUGGGGGAAACCCUGAUCCAGCAAUGCCGCGUGUGUGAAGAAGGCCUGCGGGUUGUAAAGCACUUUCAGUGGGGAAGAAAAGCCGAGGGUUAAUACCCCUUGGUCUUGACGUUACCCACAGAAGAAGCACCGGCUAACUCC
rnacentral:rRNA from 1 species